UACGGAGGGGGCUAGCGUUGUUCGGAAUCACUGGGCGUAAAGCGUACGUAGGCGGCUAUUCAAGUCAGAGGUGAAAGCCUGGAGCUCAACUCCAGAACUGCCUUUGAAACUAGGUAGCUUGAACACGGGAGAGGUGAGUGGAAUUCCGAGUGUAGAGGUGAAAUUCGUAGAUAUUCGGAAGAACACCAGUGGCGAAGGCGGCUCACUGGACCGUUGUUGACGCUGAGGUACGAAAGCGUGGGGAGCAAACAGG
rnacentral:rRNA from 1 species